CAAAAAUUAUAUUCUUAUUAAUGUUGCUGUUUAGAAAUGUGUUCCUGAACCCUAGUGACACUGACGACUUCUCUGUGGUUUCUACUAGCAAAAGUCCACCAAAAAUUGAAGCUAUCGUAAACGAUCCUUCUUUUGUACGAGUGGAAUUACCGUUAGCAAUGCGCACUAUACUUGACGCAUUAAAAGAAAUAAAGCGGGAAAUUAUCGAAGAAGUCGAAAACGUGAUAGAAAAGAAAAUCAGGAUUUACGAUGCAGGCCUAAAAGAGCAAUUAUCAGAAACAGAAGAAAAUGUUAGACGACAAUAACAUAGGCAAAAAAUGAAAUGACGAACCACAUGGACGCCGUAAAAGAAUCGGGAUUUAGGUACAUUUCAUUCUAUCAUCGAAAAGAAACUCACACAAACGACAAAAGAAGUACUUGAUGAAAUGAGCAACCAAAGGGAAUCAACGAAGCUAAUUCUUUCCGAAAGCGAAAAACACAUCACCGGAAUAAAAUCAUACGUGCAAACUCAUUUUAGCAAUCUGGAAAAUCAGUUGAAAGAAACGAAACAAGAAAUUGUGGCAGAAACAGAAGGAAAUGUUAGACUGCAAAUAACACAAGCAAAAAAUGAAAUACUUGCUAAAAUAAACAUUUCAGGCGAAUUGACAAAGCUCUCUAUUUCUAAACACGAGCAACUUGCUUCAGAAAUACAGUCGGCAAUUAGAAUUCAGAGUAAAGAAAUAGAAGUCACUCUUAACACCUCUGGUGCUUUCAACGAAAUUAAUAACAAACUAAUCAAUAUAAACGAAAAAGAACAGAGCGUCAAAGAACAACUAACUGAAAUCAACGGUAUGGUUGACGAAAUAAAGGCUCUGCUUUUAAACAACGAAAACCUUAUCGAAAAAAUACAGUCAAAUGUGCAAACUCAGUUUACAGAGGCGAAAGCCGAAAUCUCCCAACUACAGGACUUGAACGAAAUUAAAAACCAACUGGCGAAAACGCAGGAAAAGAUACUUACAGAAAUUCAAGACUGUAAAUCUGUACCAAAGGACUGUAGAGAAGUUCAAAACAGGGGAUAUAACACUUCUGGCAUUUUUCGCAUACAACCCAUGCUUUCCUUGCAAAGUUUUCUAGUUUAGUGCGAUAUGUCGACUCGAAAAGGAGGGUGGACUUACGUCAUUAAUCGAUUUGAUGGGUCAGUAAACUUUGACCGCAAGUGGACAGAUUAUAAGCAAAGUUUUGGUAAUCUUUCAGGAGAACAUUGGUUAGGUUUAGAUCAUCUCUACGAACUGACAAGUACUAAACCAACCGAGUUGUUUUUUGAACUGGUCGACCAGGAUUUGAAAAAGGUUUAUGCGCUAUAUGACGAUUUUCAAAUGGGAAAUGAACUUGAGAGUUAUCGUAUAAAAACUGUGGGGCAGUAUAGAGGAGACGCUGGAAAUUCGUUCAAAAGUCAGACUGAGAAAUUUAGUACUACAGAUCAUGGUGAAAAUAUCCGUUGCGCAGACUAUCACAAAGCUGGCUGGUGGUACUCGAGCUGCUAUUCCUCCUGUCUAACUUGCAGAUAUCGACCUAUGAAUGAAGUAAAAACUUCUAAAUAUUUCGAUUUGGGAGUCCAUUGGGUUACAUUUCACGGUGUUGAACAGAGCCUUAAGGAAGCGAGGAUGAUGAUCAGACCACGACAUGGAUAAUAUAUACCAUUUUUACUUCCCGAGCGUAAGCUAAGGAACUGUAGUAAUUGAGUUCAUCGAACGAAUGUAGUACGAAAAAUGUAGUCUCCCGUUUCCGUCUGUCUGUCUGUUUGUAUGUCUGUCUGGUGUUUGUAUCCAUUUUUGUUAGACACGUAAUCGCUGAAACUGCUGAAGCGAUUGUCGUCAAAUUUUAUAUAUAUACUAGCUGACCCCAUGAACUUCGUUUUACCUACAAUUUAAUUUUGAAUCUGCAAAACCGAAUGCUUGCAGAUGUUUUAAAUAUAUGAGAAGCAUAAUAAAUUUUUAUUCAAAAUAUAUUUACUUAUCUCCUCCAAAAAAUUAACGAUGUCAGCCCAAAAUUUUGCCAAAUGAAUCCUAUCUAAAAUGUCCAAAAUAGGAUGAGACUAUACCUACUUGUGAUUUAUCAUUCCAUUCAUAUUUUUUAGUUUUGCUUAUAAGGGAUGUCUCAAAAAGAUGAAUCACUGAGUCAA